rnacentral:rRNA from 1 species
GACGAACGCUGGCGGCGUGCCUAAUACAUGCAAGUAGAACGCUGAAGGAGGAGCUUGCUUCUCUGGAUGAGUUGCGAACGGGUGAGUAACGCGUAGGUAACCUGCCUGGUAGCGGGGGAUAACUAUUGGAAACGAUAGCUAAUACCGCAUAAUAGCAGUUAUUGCAUGAUAACUGUUUGAAAGGUGCAAUUGCACCACUACCAGAUGGACCUGCGUUGUAUUAGCUAGUUGGUGGGGUAACGGCUCACCAAGGCGACGAUACAUAGCCGACCUGAGAGGGGGACGGCCAAACCGGGAACGGGACCAGGCCCAGACCCCUACCGGAGGGAGCCGGAGGGGAAUUUCGGCAAUGGACGGAAGUCUGACCGAGCAACGCCGCGUGAGUGAAGAAGGUUUUCGGAUCGUAAAGCUCGGUUGUAAGAGAAGAACGAGUGUGAGAGUGGAAAGUUCACACUGUGACGGUAUCUUACCAGAAAGGGACGGCUAACUACGUG